rnacentral:rRNA from 1 species
AGCGACCGCUUUGGGAGUUCGAUUAAGCCAUGCGAGUCGUGAGUCUUAGGGACUCGGCAUACUGCUCAGUAACACGUGGAUAACCUGCCCUAUCGUCUGGAAUAACCUCGGGAAACUGAGAACAAGGCCGGAUAGUUCACAAUGCCUGGAACGGUUUGUGAAUAAAGGUAGGUUGGGUCUGCGGCGUAUCAGGUUGUAGGGGGUGUAAAGGACCCCCUAGCCUUCGACGCGUACGGGUGUUGGGAGACAUAGCCCGGAGAUGGAUUCUGAGACACGAAUCCAGACCCUACGGGGUGCAGCAGGCGCGAAAACUUGGCAAUGCGAGAAAUCGUGACCAGGGAACUCCAAGUGGCAGGGGUAAGACCCUGUCUUUUUCCGACUCUAAAUAGGUCGGCGAAUAAGGGGUGGGUAAGGACGGUGCCAGCCGCCGCGGUAAUACCGGCGCCUCAAGUGGUAGUCGCUUUUAUUGGGCCUAAAACGUCCGUAGCCGGUCUGGUACAUUCGUGGGUAAAUCAACUCGCUCAACGAGUUGAAUUCUGCGAGGACGGCCAGACUUGGGACCGGGAGAGGUGUGGGGUACUCUCAGGGUAGGGGUAAAAUCCGGUCAUCCUGAGAGGACCACCUGUUGCGAAGGCUCCACACUAGAACGGAUCCGACGGUCAGGGACGAAGCCUAGGGGCACGAACCGGAUUAGAUACCCGGGUAGUCCUAGGUGUAAACGCUGUGGACUUGAUGUUGGGGACGCUCCGAGCGUUCUCAGUGUCGAAGCGAAGGUGAUAAGUCCACUGCCUGGGGAGUACGGUCGCAAGGCUGAAACUUAAAGGAAUUGGCGGGGAGCACCGCAACCUGAGGAUUGUGCGGUUU